UACGUAGGGUGCGAGCGUUGUCCGGAAUUAUUGGGCGUAAAGAGCUUGUAGGCGGUCUGUCGCGUCUGCUGUGAAAAUCCGGGGCUCAACCCCGGACUUGCAGUGGGUACGGGCAGACUAGAGUGUGGUAGGGGAGACUGGAAUUCCUGGUGUAGCGGUGAAAUUCGCAGAUAUCAGGAGGAACACCGAUGGCGAAGGCAGGUCUCUGGGCCACUACUGACGCUGAGAAGCGAAAGCAUGGGGAGCGAACAGG
rnacentral:rRNA from 1 species